rnacentral:rRNA from 1 species
UCGUAGGCGGCUGAGUAAGUCGGUGUUAAAUCCCCAGGCUCAACCUGGGACACCACCCGAUACUGCUCUGGCUAGAGUCCGGUAGGGGAGCGUGGAAUUCCUGGUGUAGCGGUGAAAUGCGCAGAUAUCAGGAGGAACACCAGCGGCGAAGGCGGCGCUCUGGGCCGGAACUGACGCUGAGGAGCGAAAAGCGUGGGUAGCAAACAGGAUUAGAUACCCUGGUAGUCCACGCCGUAAACGUUGGGCACUAGGUGUGGGGUCUAUUCAACGGACUCCGUGCCGUAGCUAACGCAUUAAGUGCCCCGCCUGGGGAGUACGGCCGCAAGGCUAAAACUCAAAGGAAUUGACGGGGGCCCGCACAAGCAGCGGAGCAUGUUGCUUAAUUCGAGGCAACGCGAAGAACCUUACCUGGGUUUGACAUGUAGAGAAAAGCCAUAGAGAUAUGGUGUCCUUCGGGGUUCUACACAGGUG